rnacentral:rRNA from 1 species
UAUACAACAUAGUUUGAUUUUAACUACCAGUUUGAUUUUAACAGAAUAUAAUACAUGCAACCCACAAGACACCCGUGCAAUUUAUAAAUUAACCUUAAAGCCUUAGACCUAAAUAAGAAUAUCUAAAACUUACCCGCACGCCUGCAGUAAAGAAUAUUGCGACAAAUACAACAUAUGCUCCAAAUACUGUUCCAUGUACUGACUAAAUUCGUGCCAGCCGUCGCGGUUAAACGAUAAGUACAAACCAAACCCUACGGGCAACGUACUGAUAAAACUUAAAAAUUUAUAGUGGUAUAAUAUACACAAUUCAACUCAUUUAUUUUAUAUCAACAUAUUAAACGAAAGAAUAAACAAAAACAAGGAUUAGAUACCCUUUUAUUUUACUCAAUAAAACUACGUCCUGGGCAUUACGAACACACGUUUAAAACCCAAAAACUUUGGCGGCAUUUUACGUAAUUAGGGGAAUCUGUCAUUUAACUCGAUAACCCACGCUAAACCCCACUACCAUUUGCAAUUCAGCUUGUGUACUGCCGUCGAAAGCUAACACACCUAAGUAGUUAGCUCCCCAGUAAUCACUAUUACGUCAGGUCAAAAUGCAGCUAAUAUGGUAAAACCGAUGGAUUACAAUAAAAAUAUAACAAGAAAGCUCAAUGACCCAAUGCUUAAAUACGGACUUAAAAGUAAAUAUGUUAUAGUAUACCAUAUUGAAAUACAAUCUGAAAUGUGCACACAUCGCCCGUCACUCUCACCGAAAGGCGAGAUAAGUCGUAACAUAGUAGGCGUAACUGAAGUUGUGCCUU